rnacentral:rRNA from 1 species
AGCGAACACUGGCGGCAGGCCUAACACAUGCAAGUCGAACGGAUCCUUCGGGAUUAGUGGCGGACGGGUGAGUAACACGUGGGAACGUGCCUUUUGGUUCGGAACAACUCAGGGAAACUUGAGCUAAUACCGAAUGUGCCCUUCGGGGAAAGAUUUAUCGCCAUUAGAGCGGCCCGCGUUAGAUUAGCUAGUUGGUGAGG